UCGUUAUUUCUAUUAGAGCUGCUGGGAGGACCCGAGGCCACACUGCGGGCACAGCCUAAGAGGCUUUCGGCUCAGCACGCACCACUCAGAUCAGCGUGUGAAACUCUGUCCGCUGUUUCACCGCGAGCAGCGCGGCCCCGCCGCACCCGGAGCGGCUCCACAGGUCCUGCUCGGUGCCGGCGGCRGGGCCGCGCCGCUCGAUCGGUACCGGGGCUCCCGGCCCCGGGGGAGCGACCCCUCCUGCGGGUACCGCAGCCCCGUCCUCCAUCGCUGCAGAGACCACCCGGCCUUCGAGGCCCCGGUACCCGGCCUGGGCGGCGGGAGCGGAGCGGAGCGGAGGAGGGAGGGCUGCUCCCCCCGCGCUCCGCAGCGGCCCCGGCCCGGCCUUUACCGAUGCACCGCACGUAGUGUUUUGCAGGAAGUUUCCACGCUCCUGGGUUUAAUCCGUGCAAAGCGGGGCUGGAGAAGAGCGCGGCUGAAUAGCGAUGGAAAGGGGCGGGCGAGGAGGUGGAGGAGGAGGCGGUAGCAGCAGCGGCCGUGUUUAAUUUUUUAAUUAGGGCGAUUUGAGCAUCUCCCGGCGGGGUCGCAUCGCCGGGCGGCGAGGGGAGCCCGGGCGAGGUGCCCCCACCGCCCGGGACCACCCCGUGCCCCGAGCCGUCGGGACUCCAGCCUGGGCUUUCGACAGCUGGCGAGGCGGGCCCGCAGCCGCGGACAGCUCCGCGCUCCGCCACCAUGGGCAGCGCGGGCGCGGAGGAGAAGGGUGCUCGAUCUCUCGCAGCCUCCAUCCCCUGGGAAGCCGGCAACACUUUUCCACAUUCACAAGUUAAGGAAGAUGCUAGUGAACRUUUUAUCUUCCUGCAUCUCUAUAUUAUCCAAAUCUAGACAACGUUAUGAAUUCACAACCCAGCUUUUGUCCACUGAAGACUCCAAGCUCAUGUAUUUGCUACGAAUAAAAUCUUAUUUUUUGCAAUUCAUUGUCAGAAGGCUGGAAGUGUCACUGCUUGGCUGCUGCUUCUUUGCAGGGGAAUGCUGCUUAUGUGGAAAAGUGUUGCUUGCACCCUGAGUUACCAUGCUGCAAAAUCACUGUGUGUGGCUCUGUUUGCAGAGCUGUGAGCCGUGCCUUCAUUUGCUGAGCAUCCAUGCCCUGGCCUUCCUCCCUUCAUCUCUCUGUAUGUCUUAGAACCCAUACCCUGAAGAGACAAUKCUCUCCCCAGCAAUUUAGAGCAUACAGGCAUGCAGUGAGCACAUGAGUAUGACAGGUGCACUGYGUGGUCACAGUGCUCCUUUUGCAGCAUUUCGGGCCGUUUCUUCWACCAUUUCAGGUAGUUCAGACUCUUUAGAGAUUUCUAUUCUGAUAGAAAUGAUGAUUUCUA